rnacentral:rRNA from 1 species
CCUACGGGAGGCAGCAGUGGGGAAUAUUGGACAAUGGGGGCAACCCUGAUCCAGCCAUGCCGCGUGUGUGAAGAAGGCCCUCGGGUUGUAAAGCACUUUCAGUGAGGAAGAACGCCUGGUGGUUAAUACCCAUCAGGAAAGACAUCACUCACAGAAGAAGCACCGGCUAACUCCGUGCCAGCAGCCGCGGUAAUACGGAGGGUGCGAGCGUUAAUCGGAAUUACUGGGCGUAAAGCGCGCGUAGGUGGCUUGAUAAGCCGGUUGUGAAAGCCCCGGGCUCAACCUGGGAACGGCAUCCGGAACUGUCAAGCUAGAGUGCAGGAGAGGAAGGUAGAAUUCCCGGUGUAGCGGUGAAAUGCGUAGAGAUCGGGAGGAAUACCAGUGGCGAAGGCGGCCUUCUGGACUAACACUGACACUGAGGUGCGAAAGCGUGGGUAGCAAACAGGAUUAGAUACCCGUGUAGUC